GCCCGCGAAUAUCGGCUCAUAGAAUAGGGUUCCCCGACAGAUUUAUUAAUUUCGAUGGUCAGCGUCCGGGUUCCCCCCUCAUCCUUGUUCGGUGUGAAGCCAUUCAAUGGCAGAUCUUCAAGGGCCGUAUUGGCUGCAUCCCGCUCCAGCCUACUAAACACUAGAGCAUUUCGGGGGUUUGGAAUCGUAUGCGAUUAUUCCUGUUUCGAAAUAAAAAAUGUCAGCUAUCGACCUCCUGGAACUGAGAUUGAUCUUUUGAAAGAAAUUAGCUUCUCUCUUCCAGAGAAAAGUCUUGGACUGAUCUUUGGACAAAGUGGAUGCGGAAAAACUACUCUUUUACAGCUGAUUGCAGGGUUAAGCAAACCAACAUCUGGCUCUAUCUACAUUCAAAGAUAUAGUAAUGAUGAUAAUCCAAACCAGCCUAUGGAACUUUUGCACCCCAGGAGAGUUGGUAUUGUUUUCCAAUUUCCAGAAAGGUACUUUGUUGCAGACAAUGUUCUUGAUGAAAUAAUAUUUGGGUGGCCAAGACAAAAGAGUGGCGUGCAAUUGAGAGAGGUUCUUGCUACGAGGCUCCACAAAGCUAUGACAUCGGUUGGUCUAACUGGAAUUGCCUUGGAUAAAGAUCCCCAAUCUUUGAGUGGUGGAUAUAAACGCCGGCUUGCCCUAGCAAUUCAGUUAGUGCAGACUCCUGACCUGUUAAUAUUGGAUGAGCCUCUUGCUGGUCUAGAGGCUGUUUGGGACAAAUUCUUUGCCGUAUUAGCGCUUGUUCACCUUACGCCUGAACUUGAUCAUGUUCGAGACCGGAUACUGGGAGGUGCCACUAUACCCACGCUGGACGAUGUUCUUGUUCGACUAGUACGACUCUCCUCUAACAGCAACACCAUUGUGGCUACCCCAUCUACUAGUACUCCUGAUAGUUCAGCCUUGUGUCUCAAAAUCCUAGCUCCGGUAAUCGUGAUAAAAAUCGUGGUGGGCGAGGAAGUCAAGAUUGUAGUGGACGUCGUCCACAAUGUAGUUAUUGUUACAAGAUGGGCCAUACACGAGAACGUUGCUUCAAAUUAAAUAGGCAACCCCCUCGCUCGACAAAUGCUGUUACUACUGAUUCUCCUGGAAAUUCAUCUGAUCGUAUUACCUUACGUGGAGCAGAUUAUGCUGCAUUCCUUCAGUAUCAAGCAUCUCAACAGUCAUCCUCCAUCAGUGUUGCCGACUCACUUGAUAUCCAUACUCCCGUCAUUGGUAGUCUCUCAGACUUCUCUUGGUCCAUUGGUCUUAGAUUCAGGUGCAACUGAUCAUGUAUAUGGAUUGCAGCACGGGAUGGACGAUUAGUACCGGAUGUGAGUCUCAUAGGCUAUAUUGCCUAAACGAGUCCCCUCGCAAUACCUUUACCAUUGCUAUAUCAUUUAUUGAGUCUCUUGAAUUGUUCCAUCGACGAUUAGGUCAUCCCAAUCUGUCUAAAUUAAAGUGUCUUUUUUCUAAUUUUUGGCAUUAUGUUCGUUACCAUGUGAGUUUAGGAAGCAGUCUCGUACUUCCUUUCCCAAGCUCGUCGAUAGUCGAGCAUCUGAGCCCUUUGCACUGGUUCACUCUGAUAUUUAGGGGCCUUGUCGUAUUAGUCAACCCUUGGUUUUCAAUAUUUUGUAACGUUUAUUGAUGAUUUUUCUCGAUGUACUUGGGUUUAUUUAAUGAAAAAUCGAUUUGAAUUACUCUCUAUAUUCAAAAAGUUUUGUGUUGAAAUUUGUACACAAUUUCAUAAAUCUAUCAAGGUUUUUAAGAAGUGAUAAUGGUAGAGAGUAUUUUUCUUACUCAUUUAGUGAUCUUGUCUCAUAUGAAGGAAUUAUUCAUCAAUCAUCGUGUUCUUCUACACCCCAACAAAAUGGAAUGGCGGAGCGCAAGAACCAUCAUCUAAUAGAAAUAGCUCGAACUCUCCUCAUACAUUAUAAUGUCCCAUUUCCUUUUUGGGCUAAUUCUAUUCUAACAACAUGUUUCCUCAUCUUAGUACAUAAGAUUCACAUAACAUGUUUUCAGCCUAAUGUGUCCCUGUACCUUUACCUCUCCGUGAAUUUGGUUGUACGUGCUUUGUUCAUAACCAUUCCCUUGGAUUGGACAAAUUACGUCCUCAAUUCAUUAAAUGUGUUUUCCUUAGGUACUCUCGAGUUCAAAAAGGAUAUAGAUAUUAUUCUCCUUACUCUUCAAUAUUACCUUAGUGCAGAUGUCACGUUCUUUGAGUCAUCGCCAUACUUUACAGUGUCAUCAUCGCCAUCCUCAAUACCUGUGACUCCUCUUCCCGUUGUCCCCAUUCCUAAGCCUCCACUUCAAGUCUAUAGGCGCCAUACAUGGCAGCGUCAGUACAUACCUACUCCACCAUCACCUGCGCCUAUUGAUGACUCAUCUCUGGUUCCAUCGCCUUCCUCGGUUGCGACUCCUCAGUCACCUGUCGUCCCACAUCCAGUGUUGUGACUGCUUUAGACUAUUAUUGCUCCUUGCUUUUGGCGUGAGGCUUUGGGUCAUUCAGAGUGGUGUCAGGCUAUGAUGGAGAAAAUGUGUGCUUUGCAUGCUAACAAUACUUGGGAGUUGGUUUUGUUACUGCUAGGAAAGACACCUAUAGCUUGCCGCUGGGUUUAUGCAAUCAAAGUUGGUCCUGAUGGUCGCAUUGAUCGCUUAAAGCUCGACUUGUUGGAAAGGGCUUUACUCAAGUGUAUGGAGAGGAUUAUACAAAAACCUUCUCUCCCGUUGCCAAAAUGUCUUUUGUUCGUCUUUUUCUUUCAAUGGCAGCAAUGCGUGGUUGGCUCAUUCAUCAACUUGAUUUUAAAAAUGCCUUUUUUGCAUGGUGAGCUUAAAGAAAAGGUAUAUAUGGAGCAACCUCCUGAUUUUGUUGCUCAGGGGGAGUUUGAUCUUGUAUGUUGUCUUCGUCAUUCACUCUAUGGCUUGAAACAGUCUCCACGGGUGUGGUUUAGACGUUUCAGUCUUGCUAUUAAAGAAUUUGGUAUGACAGAAUGUUCGUCUGAUCAUACAGUAAAUAUAAUUUAGAAGGGCGAUGCGUUUACUUACUUGUUUAUGUUGAUAUUGUCAUCACUGUAGAUGAUAUGGAUGGUAUUACAAAGUUAAAGAAGCAUUUACACAAUCAUUUCUAAACCAAAGACUUGGGACCACUACGGUACUUCUUAGGGAUUGAGAUUGCCCAAUAGAAGAAUGGUGUUAUCCUAUUUCAGAUAAAGUAUGUUUUUGAUAUGUUAGAAGAAACAAGUAUGAAUGAAUGUAAGGUUGUGGAUUCUCCUAUGGAUCCAAAUACAAAAUUGCUUCUAGGACAGGGGGAGCCAUUGACUGAUAAUGAUGUUGGACGAUAUAAAAGGCUGGUUGGAAAACUUAAUUAUCUCACUAUCAUCUGACCAAAUAUAUCAUUUGCAGUAAGUGUAGUGAGUCAAUUCAUGCAGUCUCCAUGUGACUCUCAUUGGAAGGCAUUUAUGUUUAUUUUGCGGUAUAUUAGAGGGUUUCUCGAAAAAGGAUUACUUUAUACAAAUCAUGGUCAUUCUGAAAUCGUUGGAUAUUCAAAUGUUGAUUUGGCGGAGUCUCCAAUCGAUAGGCGUUUUACCUCUGGUUAUUGCGUAUUUAUUGGAGGCAAUUUGAUAUCUUGGAAAAGUAAGAAAUAAGAUGUGGUUGCGCGCUCUAGUGCUGAGCUGAUCAUCGUGCUAUGGCUUUAGCUGCAUGUGAGCUUCUCUGAAUUAAACAAUUACUUUGUGAACUUAAGUUCUGUGAUGUGACGAAGAUGAAGUUAUGGUGUGAUAACCAAGCAGCACUACACAUUGCAUCAAAUCCAGUAUUUUUUGAACGAACGAAGCAUAUCGAAAUAGAUUGUCACUUCAUUAGAGAGAAAGUAUUAUCUGGAUAUAUAGAUACUAAAUAUGUGCCUUCAGAUGAUCAACUUGCAAACAUAUUUACGAAAGCUCUGAGAGGUCCUCGAUCCAAGUCUAUCCGCAACAAGCUUGGAUCUAAUGAUUUGUACACUCCACCUUGAGGAAAGUGUUAGAUUUAUUAAAAUUAUAUCCAUAUCCAUAGCUUAUCCAUAUCUAUGAUUUAGUUAAUUAUGAUAGAUUUUCUAAUUUGCUAUAUAUAUGUACUCUUCUUUUUCUUUUUUUGGAAUAAUGUAACUUUAUUUUUCCUCUAUUUCUUUGCAAUUAUGAUGUAACUUGCCCAGUCCCAAGCCAUAGCUGUCAAACUCUGAUCCUAAAUCCUAACAACUACUAAGCCUAAACUCCUCCUGCCAAGCAUAGAAAAUUUUUAAUUGCAGCCUUUUUCAUCGCACUAACUUAUUACUAUAUCAAUCAAGUGUUCAUGCAAGAUUUUUAGUUCAUAUUUUUGUGGUAAUUUUAUAGAAAACAUUUCUUUUUGAAUGGAAAAUUAGUUGGUUUGAAUUCUCCUGGCUAAAUUUUUUUUGUAUUGUCUUCUUCAGUAUUUUCCACUGCCUCCCAUUUUGCUCAACUCACUUUCCUUUAGUGAGUUCAGCCACCUGUUCUUGCAAGUGAAUUCUUAACAUAAAUUUUGUCAAUAUCAUGUUCCCAACUGUAUUCAGGCAUGGAAAUUCUAUACAGAACUCAUCUUUGCCUUCAAUUCCAAUGUUACCCCAUCAUCCUAGACUUAGUUUGACAUCCAGUGGUGUUGAUAGUGGCUUGUGUAGUCGCCAGAAAUGUUGUCCCCACAAUGAGAUGUAGGUUCCAAUCUUCCUCAUUAUCUAUCGCCACAAAUCAAUGAAAAAUGAAUUGAUUCACUUUUCACAGUGCCAUUUCAACUAAGCAAUUAUAUUUGCCAAUUGCCUCAUGGUUAUGCUUUGUUACAAACUGAGAAAACCAUUUGCUGAAAAACCGAGUAUGAUGUAAGAUUUAUGUUGGGCCUGAAGCCAUAGAGUGCUUUCUUGGCUCUAAAUUUCAUGGAAUGGUGAAGCUUCUGAGUUCUGUGUGUUAGGAUUAACUCUCACACACGCACACAAACAAGAAAGUGGAACACAAAGGAUUACAUGGUUCGGUCAAUGAGGGUUAUCAACCUACGUCCUCGGGGGCAACCAAGAAGCUUUUCUUAUUACUUUAGUUGAGGCGGCUCAAUUUACAAGUACAAGAGAUAGGUAUUUAUAGAAUAGGUUAGGAUUAAUAGCAAUUGGGCCCAAACUCCUAAGCCCAUUACGAUUAAUUACCUAAAGAAGCCUACACUUUAACGCCGUGGACCUUUUGGAAGCUUGUCUUCGGACUCGAUGUUGGGAUUUUAUUUUUCCAGUUAAAAUGUAUGAUUUCUGCACUUCUAUUUGGCUUACUGAUUUUCAUUUC